GGGAAGCCCCCUCAAAGAUGAGUAUUCCCUUUAAAUUCCUUAUAGACUAUGAGGUUGAUAGGCUGGAGGUGUAAGUGCAGCAAUGCAUUCAGCUGACCAGUACUAAUAAAUUGAACGGUUUAAUAGU
rnacentral:rRNA from 1 species